CCCCAAUGUGAACGUUACCAAUCUGUUGCCUCGGCGGGAUUCUCUUGCCCCGGGCGCGUCGCAGCCCCGGAUCCCAUGGCGCCCGCCGGAGGACCAACUCCAAACUCUUUUUUCUCUCCGUCGCGGCUCCCGUCGCGGCUCUGUUUUAUUUUUGCUCUGAGCCUUUCUCGGCGACCCUAGCGGGCGUCUCGAAAAUGAAUCAAAACUUUCAACAACGGAUCUCUUGGUUCUGGCAUCGAUGAAGAACGCAGCGAAAUGCGAUAAGUAAUGUGAAUUGCAGAAUUCAGUGAAUCAUCGAAUCUUUGAACGCACAUUGCGCCCGCCAGUAUUCUGGCGGGCAUGCCUGUCCGAGCGUCAUUUCAACCCUCGAACCCCUCCGGGGGGUCGGCGUUGGGGAUCGGCCCCUCACCGGGCCGCCCCCGAAAUACAGUGGCGGUCUCGCCGCAGCCUCUCCUGCGCAGUAGUUUGCACACUCGCACCGGGAGCGCGGCGCGGCCACAGCCGUAAAACACCCCAAACUUCUGAAAUGUUGACCUCGGAUCAGGUAGGAAUACCCGCUGAACUUAAGCAUAUCAAAAGCCGGAGGAA
rnacentral:rRNA from 1 species